UACCAGCACCCCGAGUUGUCGUGACGAUUAUUGGGCCUAAAGCAUCCGUAGCCUGUUCUGCAAGUCCUCCGUUAAAUCCACCCGCUUAACGGAUGGGCUGCGGGGGAUACUGCAGAGCUAGGAGGCGGGAGAGGCAAACGGUACUCAGUGGGUAGGGGUAAAAUCCAUUGAUCUACUGAAGACCACCAGUGGCGAAGGCGGUUUGCCAGAACGCGCUCGACGGUGAGGGAUGAAAGCUGGGGGAGCAAACCGG
rnacentral:rRNA from 1 species